AUGAAGAACGUAGCGAAAUGCGAUAAGUAGUGUGAAUUGCAGAAUCCCGUGAACCAUCGAGUCUUUGAACGCAAGUUGCGCCCGAAGCCAUUAGGCCGAGGGCACGCCUGCCUGGGCGUCACACGUCGUUGCCCCCCCAUCUACUCCUUCGGGAUUGCGGGGGGCGGAUGAUGGCCUCCCGUGCGCCUCGCCGCGCGGUUGGCAUAAAUGCCAAGUCCUCGGCGACGCACGCCACGACAAUCGGUGGUUGCGAAACCUCGGUUGCCCGUCGUGUGCGGUCGUCGCGCAUCGAGGGCUCGAAAAAAUUGCCGGGUUCCGGCUCGGCUUUCAACGCGACCCCAGGUCAGGCGGGGUUACCCGCUGAAUUUAAGCAUAUCAAUAAGCGGAGGA
rnacentral:misc_RNA from 1 species